UUGCUGCCUAUCUGUCCUUUCCAACUAGGCUGCGAGGUCCAGUACGUCAAACACCCUGUCAGUCUUGCCCACCAAGUGUCCAGACCACUGAACACGCACCGACCCGAGGAAAGGAAGUCCCAAAGUCAACUCUCCAGACUUUCUGUGGAAGGAGGGAACGAACGGAGCACCCUCCAGCCUCACGCUUUCUUUGCCAGACUUUCAAGUGUGGGACACACACCUGUGCUCACAAUGCUCCCCGGACAGCCCCCACUGCACCCCUAACAGGUAGACUUCUGCCCAGUCAAGGCCUUUGGAAAGCACUGGCUCUGCACACGAAUAUUAUGCGGCCCUCCACAGGCCACUUCCCCUGAACCGGCCUGAGCUUCAGGGCCACGACAGGCUUCGUGAAAACCCCAACGGAACGUAGCCUCGAAAAGAGGGAGACCUGCACCCCUCAGAACGCAUCGAGACCAGUGUCGUUACCGACGUCGCGUCUGGCCUUCCAAGAAGCCAAGACCACGGGCGCCGCUUCAGCGCCCGACUCUCGGGCACCGCAUCCCCAGGCUGGCCCCUGGGCAGGUGCCCGGAACACACCGCCCGUUCCACGAACGCGUGAAGCGCACGAAGAGACCCCCUCGCUGCCCGCGCCGCGCAGCUGUCCCGCGCCUGACGGGCACCUCUCGGCGCACAAGCCUAUUCCUCAGGGACACGCUCGCCUCCCACCAGCCCCCAGGCCACGCCCCCAGGUACCUCUCCCAGACGGAAUCCUCUUCGCAGGCGCCCUGGUCGUCCGUGUCCGGCAGGCAGGAAGAGCGGGAGCUGAAGGACGGCCUCCUCAGGCUAGCGGCCGGCCGUGGCUGUGGAAGGCCCGGGCUGCUGUGCCAGCGGGACACGGAGCGGCGUCCACGGACGCCGGGGCAACGGACGAGCCCGGCCCGGGAGAGAGCAGCAGAGCGCGGCCGGACUCCGCCGGGCUCGGCUCUGGGCAGGCAGGCGCGGCUGGCCGACGCCUCCCCGGACGGCGGCCCAGCAGCCGCGCGCUCCCCGCGCGCGCCGCCGCCCCCACGCUCCCCGGCCGCUGCCCCGCCCCCCCUCCGGCGGUGGACUGCGGACAGCCACAGGGACACCCUCCUGGGAGAACUCCUGGGGCCCCGCCCACACGCUGCUUCGGCCCUCCGCGGAGCGGCCAGGUGCGCUGACAGGGACGCAGGGGCCCCGCUACGCUCGCUCUCGGGGGAACUGCAGCCUCCUCGGGUCUGACUGCAAUGCCACACCCGAAACCAUGCAACGUCUAGAAGAAAACAUAGGCAGUAUGCCCUUUGACAGCAGUCUUAGCAGCCUACUUUCAAGUACCAUGUCUGACUGGGCGAUGGCACCAAAGUACAAAAUGAACAAACGGGACUACAUCAAAGUGAAAAAAAAUCUUCUGCACGGCAAAGGAAACCAUCCACAAAACCAAAACACAACCUAACAACUGGGAGAAGAUACUUGCAAACCAUAUAUCGGAUAAGGGGUUUAUAUCCAAAACACAGAAAGAACUCCGACAGCUCAACAACAACAAAAAAUCAACAACCCGAUUAAAAAGACGGGCAAAAGAUCUGAGCAGUGACUUCUCCAAAGAAGGUAUACGGGUGGCCAACAGGCAUAUGGAAAGGGGCUCAACAUCAUUAGCGAUCAGAGGAAGGCAAAUCAAAACUACAAGGAGAGGUCACCUUCCUCUGGUCAGAAUGGCUCUAAUUAACAAGACAGGAGACAAGUGUCGGAGAGGAUGUGGAGAGAAGGGAACUCUCCUACACUGCUGGUGGGAGUGCAGACUGGUGCAGCCACCAUGGAAAGCCGUAUGGAGUAUCCUCAGAAAACUAAGAAUACAUCUACCAUAUGUAUGAUCCAGCUAGCCCACUGCUGGGUAUUUAUCCAAAGAACUGGGAAAACACCAAUGCAGAAAGACACAUGCACCCCUAGGUUCACUGCAGCAUUAUUCACAACAGCCAAAACUUGGAAGCAACCUAGGUGCCCAUCAAGGGAAGUAUGGACAGAGAAGAUGUGGUGUGUAUACACAAUGGAAUGCUACUCGGCCCCUAAGAAACGAUGAGAUCCCGGCAUUUGUGACAACGUGGAUGGGACCUUGAGGGUAUUAUGUGAAGUGAAAUAAAUCAGAAGGGAGAAAGUCA
rnacentral:lncRNA from 1 species